GAUCACCGAAGUCAAGCAUCAUCGGGCACGGUCAGUACUUGGGAGGGCGACCACCUGGGAACACCGCGUGCCGUU
rnacentral:rRNA from 1 species